AGUAAGGUUGAUGGGUUGAUGGAAAACCAGAAGAGAGUGGUACCCCAGCUGCUAAGGAAAGAAAACAAUUCAAGAGAAAGACAGUGCUUAACCGACUUCAAAUGCUUAUAUGACUAGUCAAGUAGGGUGACCGAUGAAUGUAGCAAUAUUAAAAUUUUAACAUAUUUAAAGUAAUUUCACCUAGUACUGAAUCUUUCAGCCUUGGAGAGCCUUUUCCGUUCAUAUCUGAACAGCACCAUCUUGUGGCAAAUAUAUGUAAAAUCAAGAUUCCUGUGUUCAAUCAAUAAGUUUUGUUGUUAAUAAAUGUUUGUUAUUAAUAAAUAUUUUGGUGGAAACUCACUCUGCAGCAAAACAUGCUAGGUUUUAGAGAUGUGAAGCCAGGAUAAUUAAACAAGACAAUUAGGACUCACUGCACAGGUGCUUUAUUCAGAAUAUCAGGUGCCAUGAAAGCACUCAGGAGGGCCAUCUGCAGCAGGGGACGCUUCACCCUUGCAAGACAAAGACAGGUGGACAUUUUCUAGGCAGUGGAAGCAGCACUUGAAAAAACACUGAGGUACCAGAGGGCAAAGACUGUAUGUUAGAAUCAUUUUGCACCAGACAUUUAUGGCUCAAGUCCAUGAAGGAGGAGGCAGAAGAGGAAGGGAAAGAAGCAAGAGCAGGGGAAAGGUAAAGUAGAUUAAAAGAGGUUCCUUAUAAGGAACCUAAGGUAUUUUGCUCAGGACUUUGGCUUUCAUCAUGCUGGCAGACAGAUAGCCCCUGGUAGGUGUGAAAAGGUUGGCUGAGAGGGAAAGGAGAGGCCAAUACUCAUAACUAAAUGCAGGGUCAGGAGAGGCUUUCAUUAAGAGAAGAUACUUGGAAUGCUUACGAACUGAAGGGAAUUUGCUAGUAAAGAGGGUGAAAUAUAGGUGUGGAAGCGUCUUAGAAUUAAGGUCUUAUCCUCUUGGGCACUGGCUGUGAGUGAUACAACAUCCAAAACACACUCUACCACCUGCUUCUGUAAAUACAUUUUUAUUGGAAGGCAGACAUGUCCCUUCAUUGAUGUAGUUGUCUGUGGCUUAUUUCAUACUACAAAGGCAGAGUUGAGUAUUGCAACAGAAACCAUAUAGCCCAUAAAGCCUACAAUAUUUACUCCUUGGCCCUUCACAGAAAAAGUUUGCUGAUCCCUCAACUAUAGCACGGGAGUGUGCCAAGCUCUGCCGAGCUGUCAGGACACAGUAGAACAGAUCCAUGCCAGCCAGAUGAGAAACACGUAGACUAUUCUUAGACUUCUUAGACAUUGGAAAUAUUAAAAAAUCCCAACUAGGGUAAUAAGUAUUUUCAGGAACAGAAUGAGUAGAAUUUGAAUCCAUCUUGAUCUUAGAUUGAAAUAACAUUCUUGAGAACUGGCUGUCAUUUGUUUUCUUUCUUUGGGGGAUUGCAGAGAAUCAAUAAGGAUGGCAAAGGCCCAGCCAAAAUAAAAGGAUUAUCAAAUAUCAAAUAUUACCUAUUGGCAUUUAUUUACAGUUAGAGUAAGCCAGUACCUAUACUUUUCAUUCUUAGCUAUUAGAGCUUGCAUUAGAAAGGUUAGAGUUAUGGGAUCUAUCAAAGCCUAGCACUCUGUAUCUUUCCUUCAUGGCACUAAUCACAAUUAAUUACUUAUGUGAAUGGUUAUCUGAUUAGUUUCUCAUCAUUCUCUCUAGACUGCAAACUAGAUCAGAACGAUCAACUUGUCUUAUUCAUCACUAUAUCCCCAGAGCCUAGCAUAUAGUUAGCAUUCAAGAAAUGCUUUGUGAAUGAAUAAAUUAAUUAGCUCCAAAGAUAUGACAGAAUUCUGUAGCUUUAGAGAGAUAGCCAAACAGAUAGCUUUU
rnacentral:lncRNA from 1 species